rnacentral:rRNA from 1 species
UUCCGGUUGAUCCUGCCGGAGGUUACUGCUAUCGGUGUUCGCCUAAGCCAUGCGAGUCAUAUGUAGCAAUACAUGGCGUACUGCUCAGUAACACGUGGAUAACCUGCCCUUGGGACCGGCAUAACCCCGGGAAACUGGGGAUAAUUCCGGAUAACGCAUAUGUGCUGGAAUGCUUUAUGCGUAAAAUGGAUUCGUCUGCCCAAGGAUGGGUCUGCGGCCUAUCAGGUAGUAGUGGGUGUAAUGUACCUACUAGCCAGCGACGGGUACGGGUUGUGAGAGCAAGAGCCCGGAGAUGGAUUCUGAGACAUGAAUCCAGGCCCUACGGGGCGCAGCAGGCGCGAAAACUUUACAAUGCGGGAAACCGUGAUAAGGGGACACCGAGUGCCAGCAUCAUAUGCUGGCUGUCCAGGUGUGUAAAAUACACCUGUUAGCAAGGGCCGGGCAAGACCGGUGCCAGCCGCCGCGGUAACACCGGCGGCCCGAGUGGUGAUCGUGAUUAUUGGGUCUAAAGGGUCCGUAGCCGGUUUGGUCAGUCCUCCGGGAAAUCUGAUAGCUUAACUAUUAGGCUUUCGGGGGAUACUGCCGACUUGGAACCCGGGAGAGGUAAGAGGUAC